AUUUGAUGAUCAAGAUGAUGAUCAAGAUGAUGAUGAUGUUGUUCUACAAGAAGAUGAAGAAGAAGAAGAAGAAAAUGAUAAUGAUCGACGUCGUCGUCAUCGUCAUCAUCAUCGUCAUCA
rnacentral:pre_miRNA from 1 species